UACGUAGGUGGCAAGCGUUGUCCGGAUUUAUUGGGUUUAAAGGGUGCGUAGGCGGCCUUUUAAGUCAGUGGUGAAAGCCGAUCGCUUAACGAUCGAACUGCCAUUGAUACUGAAAGGCUUGAGUAUAGUUGAGGUAAGCGGAAUUGACAGUGUAGCGGUGAAGUGCAUAGAUAUUGUCAAGAACACCAAUUGCGUAGGCAGCUUACUAAAGUAUAACUGACGCUGAGGCACGAAAGUGCGGGGAUCAAACAGG
rnacentral:rRNA from 1 species